ACAUUUCUGAAAAAUAAAGGAAGAAUUACUUGUUAUUAUUAUUAUUACACUUUUCAUAUUAAAUAUUUAUGAUAGUAUAAUGCCUAUUCUGCUCAACCAGCUGCAGUGGUGUUGGGUUCAGCAGGGCAAUCAAACUAACAAGAUUCAGUGGGCCAAAAUGUGACACAGACUAGUUCUGAAGAAGGACACAGGCCGGGAACACAGCAUGUCAGCAGGACAGCAUCAAGUAUGUCACUUCAGUAGGAGUUCAGAGACCAUUCUCCAGCUCCAAAACAGACAGAUCAGGUGUUAAACACAAGGAGGGACAUACCCAGUAAGAAGAAGUAUGCUAUGGGAAGCCCAAAGCUGUAGCUUCCAGCAGUAUUUAUGAUCCAUCCACACUCCUCCCAGUCCCAAGGCAGGUAACCAGUCAGGGAUCAUUUUUACUUUUAUCAGAGAUACAGUGAAGCACUAGCAGAAGGCUAACCCAUUGUAAUCUUUCCAUACAGAAGAAGGAGAUUUGUUAAUACUUUGCUCACAAGCAGAAUUAAUUCCCCAAAUUUUAACAAAAAUUUUUAAGUGGCUAAUGUUGUUUUAAGGCAUAAUAAUGAAUAGUUUAUUGUACAGAAAAUAGCUAUUGGCAUAUAAUGCCAAAAAUAAUACUGGAACAUUAUAUUACAUAUGAUUAACAAUCUCUAAACACUGUUAGACAAUGAGGAAUAAGUAAGUAUCAUAUUGAUUUCUGGCAGUCUCUUUCAGGAGGAAGGGACUUUGCAUUUUAAUUUCAAUUCAACUAUUUAUCAGAAAAAAAAAGGAUAGCUGGCUUUCAAAAAGACCUGGAAAUAAUACUCCAAGUAAUGGAAUCUAAUAGCUACCACAUUAUUUAAGAUAAAUGUUCAAAAGGCAACUUCACAGGAUAGCACUGAUGAUACUUACUGACCUCAAAGGGGAAAAAUCAAUUUAUUCACUUCAAAAGAAAAAAAGGAAAAAUCAUUUUUAUAUUAUAAUUAUGUGUAUAUAUAUCAAUUGAAUGAUAAACAUAUAGAAAACACAUGUAAAUUUUAUCUAAACACAUAAAUAUAAGAUGUAUACAGAGGUAUAUAAAUAUAUGGUUUUGUAUUAAUACCACAUUCCAGUUUAUUUCUAUAUACUCAUAUCUAGGAAACUUCAGGUUUGGAAAAACCCACAUUAAAAAGACUUGAACCUUUUCCCAGAUUCCUUGGUUCUAAGAUAAGGCAAACAAUGGCACAAAUUGUGACAAGAACAUAAAUUAAUUGGCAAAACAAGGAAAAGAGCUGGCAUAAUAACAAAAAUGAAAAGUAAAGCCUGGGAAAGAACUAAAAGUGACUAAUGUGUCUCAGCCAUCUAAAGUAAGGGUGUGGUAUUGAUCCUGUAAUCUUCUAGAGGUAAGAAUGUUACUGGAUAUUUACUUGGUUUUAAUAUUUUGACCACUAUUAAUUGGAUUUUUAAAAACUGAAAUACAAACGUAACUAAUUUGCCCAUUAUGUAAUAUGUUACUAAUAAAGAAACUCAAUUCUUUAUGAUGCAAAUAAAUCACAGCCUUACAGAGAAGCACACAUUGACAGAACCCAGCUAUAUGAAACACAGGACUAUCUUGUGCUGUUCAUAAAGAUUCAAAUGUGAUAAGAGUGAAACACCUAAACCUAGAGUAAUACAGACCAAUGUAUUCCAAAUCCAAUACUUUUACUCUAUCUCUAGUGAAAUUUAGUGCCCCUCUCGUAUGAACUGAAGUUAACCUGUGUUACUUUAUUCUGUCAUCUUCAUUGACACUGAUAAAAGAAAAAAAAUCUUCCCUUUUCCCUACUCCAGGUUUAAGAUCAAGAAUAGAAGUGGAAGGGAAAUAAAGAGUGAAAGGAAAAUUCAUAGUAAUCAUAAAGACAACAUGAAAGGUCACUAUGGAACUUCAUAGGCUGAUUCCCCAGAGGCAUCUAGGACACAUCAAUGAACAAAACUGAACAAGAUGCCUGCCUUUAUGCCACUCAGAUUCUAGCUGGGGGAGACACACAAUAAGCAAUAAGCAUACAUGAAUAAAUUAUAUUCUAUGUUAGAAUAUAAGAAAACUGAGAAAAAAGUAAAGCUGAACAGGGUAACAGGGACUAGGAAUGGUGAGGGAUAGAAGCUAGGUGCAAUAUUAAAUGGCAUGGUCACAGGAGGCUCCAUUGAGAAAGUGACAUUUGAGCAAAUACUUGAAGGAGAUGAAGGCAUUAGCCAUCCAGAUAUCAGAGAAGAGCAUUCACGUCAGAGGAAAACCCAGUGCAAAAGCCCUACAACAGGAUCAUACGCAGAGUGUUUGAGGGGUAGCAAGUGCGCCAGUGUGGGAAGAGUAGCAGGAAAUGAGAUCAGAGAGGUAAUGGGAUGGGAGAGGGGGCAGAUCUUAUAGUUUUGUAGGCUAUUGUAAAUAUUUGGCUCUUAUUCUAAGAAAAUAGAGAGCCACUGGAGGUUUUUGAGCAGAAAAAUAACAUGAUCUGACAUCUUUUUCUAGGAUUAUUCUGGCUGCCAAGACUACAGAGGGCCAGAAGCAGACUUAGAGAGACCAGAUAAAGGGUUAUUCAGUAAUACAGGCAGUGAGAAUAAAGGUUCAGAUCACGGAGGUAGCAGUAGAAAUGGUAAAGAGGUGUCUGCUUUUGGACAUAUUUUGAAGGUAGACUUAAUAGGGUUUCCUGAUGGAUUGGUUGCAUGGUAUGAGAAAAACAGGGAAUUAAUAAUGGCACUGAAGUUUUUGUUCUAGAAUGAGAAACUUGCCAUCAACCGUGGUGGGGAGGGCUAUAAGUAUGAACAGAUUUUAUAGGAAAAGAUUAAUAAUUCAGUUUUGUAAGUGUUGAGUUUGAGAGGAAUAUCAGACAUCCAAAUGGAGAUAGUGAGUGUUUACUGAGCACCUACUAGGCAACAGACACAUCAUUUAACUUUCUUUCCUUCUUUUUGCUAAUGCUAAUAACCACGGAACUAGAAAUUGAAAAGUGCUAAUUUAUUUGGAAUACCAGAAAGUGUGUUAUAUACAAUAAUGUCAGUAAACAAGUAUUCUCAGGUCUAAAAGGUAUGAAACCUAAAAAAGAAAUGUAGAUGUAUACAUAUGAUAGUGAUAUAAAUUUGUCAUGUGUUAGUGAUGGGGCAACACCUCAAGGUUCCCCCGGAGGCUGUCCACAUAAAGCAGCUUAGUUUGUGAUUCUGUAAGUGGGGCCCAAUAACCAUUUAUUGAUAUUGAUAAUGAUGCUAAUGAUGUUAAAAAUAGUGCUGGCAGUUUGACCCCUUGUGCGGAGUAUUUGAAUAGAGCAGACUCUAAUGUAGCAUGAAAAAGCAUAA